CUUGAACUUCUUUACCUUCUUGCCUUCGUUCAUCAUGCUCUCAGAGGAAUAUCAGCCAACCCUAGGAACCUUCGAGCAUACUCCGAUACAGUCAUCUUACCCUGGACAAGGUAUGCAAACUCUAUCUCCUUCAAAUGACGGAGAUGCUCUGGGAUAUACUCUGCAUUAAAGGCCAUCAGGAACUGUUCCCAAGUGAUUGGAAUGGAUAA
rnacentral:lncRNA from 1 species